rnacentral:rRNA from 1 species
AUACGUAGGUGACAAGCGUUAUCCGGAUUUACUGGGCGUAAAGGGCGUGUAGGCGGUCUUGCAAGUCAGAAGUGAAAUUCCUGAGCUCAACUCGGGCGCUGCUUCUGAAACUGCAGGACUUGAGUGCUGGAGGGGAUAGCGGAAUUCCUAGUGGAGCGGUAAAAUGCGCAGAUAUUAGGAAGAACGCCGGUGGCGAAGGCGGCUAUCUGGACAGUAACGGACGCUGAGGCGCGAAAGCGUGGGGAGCAAACAGGAUUAGAUACCCUGGUAGUCCACGCUGUAAACGAUCGAUACUAGGUGUGCGGGGACUGACCCCCUGCGUGCCGCAGUUAACACAAUAAGUAUCGCACCUGGGGAGUACGAUCGCAAGGUUGAAACUUAAAGGAAUUGACGGGG